rnacentral:rRNA from 1 species
CAGGACGAACGCUGGCGGCGUGCUUCAUACAUGCAAGUCGAACGAGAAUCUGACUUCGGUCAGAGGAAAGUGGCGGACGGGUGAGUAAAAUGUAGAGAAUCUGCCCUUAAGCGGGGGACAACAGUUGGAAACGACUGCUAAUACCCCAUAUGCGCGUAGCUGAGAUGCUAUUCGUGAAAACUCCGGUGCUUAAGGAUGAGUCUGCAUCUGAUUAGCUAGUAGGCGGUGUAAUGGACCACCUAGGCGACGAUCAGUAGCUGGUUUGAGAGGAUGAUCAGCCACAAUGGGACUGAGACACGGCCCAUACUCCUACGGGAGGCAGCAGUAGGGAAUUUUGCGCAAUGGGGGAAACCCUGACGCAGCAAACCGCCGCGUGAUUGAAGAAGCCCUUCGGGGGUGUGAAGAUCUGUCAGUGGGGACGAAACUUGACGGUACCCACAGAGGAAGCAUCGGCUAACUCCGUGCCAGCAGCAGC